rnacentral:lncRNA from 1 species
AACAAUUGGUCCCUCACCGUGGCUACCUUGGUGUGAAUCAUCUGUGGAGAGUGACGACCAAACACUACCAAACCGGACUGUUCCACUUCGUUCACGGCACCCCGUCAUUCCGUGACACUAACCGGUCCAGGCCAAGAGAGCCUCUCCUCCACCGAGCCGUGUGGAGACACAAGGCAGUGGCCGGCGCUCAUGACCAUUGCACCUGAAUCAUCACCGGCUUGCAAUGGAUGCUUGUCAUUCAUGUCCACGUCGGAAACGGAGCGCGCGACGUUGCCGCUGCAGCCAGCGCCUCAACCCUCC